rnacentral:rRNA from 1 species
ACCGCCAGACUAGAAUGAUGCAGGGGAGAGCACAUAUUCUUUGUGUAGCGAUGAGAUGAGCAGAUAUAAGUGUCGAACACCGAUGGCGAGGGGAAUUUUUCUGGUACUUCUACCCAGGUUGAGAAACGAAAGGCAUGGGGACCGAACAGGAUUAAAUACCCUAGUAGUCCACCCCAAAAACGUAGUUCACUAGGUGUGGGAGGCUAUUCCUUUUUUCCCGCGCGGUAGAAAACUCAUAAAUGUACCCUCCCUGGGGAGUACGGCAACAAGCCUAAAACUCAAAGGAAUUGACGGGGGCCCCUCCCAAGCGGCGGAGCAUGCGGAUUAUUUUGAUGCAACGCGAAGAUCCUUCCCAAGGCCUGACAUGUGCCAGCCCCCCAUAGAAAUAUGGUUUCCCCUUUUGGGGCUGGUUCACAGGUGGUGCAUGGUUGUCCUCACCUCGUGUUUUUUUUCAAUGGAAAAAUCCAAAACGAGCAAAACCCUUGUUUUAUGUUGCCUCCAUGUUAUGGGGGGGACUCAUAGGAGAGCGCCGGUGUCAACUCGGCGGAAGGAGGGGGGGACGUCAAAUCAUCAUGCCCAUUAUGUAGUGGGCUUAACGCAUGCUACAAUGGCCGGUACAAUGGGUUGCGAUAUGUGGAGGGGGAACUAAUCCCAAAAAGCCGGUCUAAUUUCGGAUUGGGUUCUGCAACUAAACCCAAUUAAUUCGGAUGAGGUAGUAAUCCUUAUUAAUUCACGUCAGGAACGCAAUUUGAACCCGUCCUACACACCGCCCACCAUGUCACGAAAGGGGGUAAACCCGAAGAA